AUCAAUGCGCGGUAUUAUGGAGCGGCUUUGUUCGACUUUACCAAACGAUCCUACAUGUAUUUCACCCCCUAGUUUGAUCCGGGUUAACCACUUAACUGUCAAUCUAUCCUAUAUGCGGUUACGAUCACAAAUGUACUUACUGUAGCGCAUUUUACGUCGAUUUCUGCGGUCCCUGGUCUGGGCGGGAUGGCUUGGGAACGCGGAAAGAGUCUGCUGGCGGCGCCGAGCCGUGUGGAGAGGUAAAGAGGGAGUCAGGCAGGACCCUGCGGGUCUGAGCAGAGAAGCAGAGAGUGUACCAGGGCGUCCGAGUGAAGACCACAGUCAAAGAGCUGCUGCAGAGGCACAGAGCCCGAGAGGCCAGCAGCAAGAAACUGAAAACGAUAUCCCAGGCUUGCUUGGAACUCCAGGAGCUGUGCGCCUCCGCAUUCCCAAGUCGUCAUGUGGAUCCUCCCUCCGUCAUCCCUCCAGCUGACUCCAGCUGCGGAGCGCGAGCCGUCCAGCUGCGCGCCGCCGUGUUCCCUGAGAGCUCGUGCAGCAUCCAGAUGCAGGACGGCAGCUUUAACGACAUCCAGCAGCAGUUUGGGGACGUGAUGUUGCCCGGCAACGGCUACGGGGGCAAUAACAACAACAACCCCAGCGGAGGCAUCAGCUACAGCUCCUCCCUGCCGCCCCCCACCGCCUCCCCGCUGCCCUGGAGCCACGGACUGUCCUCAGAUGCGGACUUCUACGGCCACGGGAUGGCUCCCUGCUCCUCACCGGAGUCUCUGGCGUUCUGCAACCCCAUGGAUCACAACAGCUACUCCCCACAGGACUCGUUCUCCUCCUCCUCUUCCUCCUGCUACGACUCGCCCACCAGGAUGGAGUCCAGCUUCCGCGGCUUCACCUCGGAGCUCUACCACUACCAGCACUGUACCCCCCAGGACUGUUACUGUCUGCCCCACUGCUGGCCAGCCCCGCAGGAGAGCUUCCCUGCCCCAGAAUAUGCACCUUACUACAACCCCACAGACCUUCCAUACGUCUGUCCUGUGGAGGAGAAUUACUUUAGGAGGGAUCUCCCAGUGAGCUCUGAGAUGUGUUACAAUGUUCUAUGAUGAGACCUCCAGCAGUAUUACCUUGUAUUCUGGCUGUAAAUAUGAUUCUCUUCAAGUAAGGCUGUUUGCUUGUUGCUUUGCAGUCCAUGCCAGUGUGUGUCCUGACUGGCUUUGGCUUCGGUGCAUGAUGAAUGCUGAAUGGAUGGAAAUAUUUUUGUAUCCUUUUUGAAAACUUAGAUUUAUUUUCAUACACAUGAUUUGUUGCUG
ensembl:lncRNA